UACGUAGGGUGCAAGCGUUAUCCGGAAUUAUUGGGCGUAAAGAGCUCGUAGGCGGUUUGUCGCGUCUGCUGUGAAAACUGGGGGCUCAACCUCGGGCCUGCAGUGGGUACGGGCAGACUAGAGUGCGGUAGGGGAGAAUGGAAUUCCUGGUGUAGCGGUGGAAUGCGCAGAUAUCAGGAGGAACACCGAUGGCGGAAGGCAGUUCUCUGGGCCGUAACUGACGCUGAGGAGCGAAAGCGUGGGGAGCGAACAGG
rnacentral:rRNA from 1 species